rnacentral:lncRNA from 1 species
GGACGCUGCAGCUGGACAGCGAGUGGGGGCCUCAGAGUGCUGCGUGAGCUGAGGAACAGUCCUGGUGAGUCAAUCCCCACUUGGAGGAGAUGGAAAAUUUUACCCCGGAGGGAAGAAUAUACUUAGUAAUGUCCACGGGACUUCACCAGCCCAGAAACCCUCCGUGUUUCUAAGAAAACUUCGCUUACUAAUAUGAAGGAGGGACUUGAGCUUGAGGAUGUGAACUUUCCAGAAAGCAAAAACCACAGAGUGGGCAGAGCCCUGCUUCUCCUCCGCGUGCGGAUCGCUGGCUGCUCUGCGGUUAUUCCCAGGCUGGCACGUCUUGUCCACUGGGGUCCAAGAAGCGGAGGUCCGUGGGUAUUUCUGACUCUGCUGGAAGUUUCUGUUUUCUUGGAAAACAUGCCUGUGAUCUAGUGGACCAGACACCUCUGCUCUCCAAGCAGGGUCCACGGGGUGCUCAGGGUGCUGUUGACGACCCGUCCGGAUGGCUGCCAUGUGUGCGGGGCCCCAGCCCCCGUCUGUGGACAUGGGCACCAUUAUCGGGAUUGCUUGAAAAGGCUGAAGAUAACUGUCUAGUAUUUCUCCCUUUACUAAAAGUAUUUUAAACUGUGAAACAAUAAUAUUGGAGGAAUAAAUUAAAAAAAAUCAAACCACCACUCUGAUAUGCUUAUUUUUAAUUUCAAAAUAUUAAUAAAUAAAGUUCCAACACUCACCUUUUGAACGUGAAUGGCCUCAAAAACGAGUAAGGUCAACAGUCCUUUCUGAAUCCAGCGGCACCAAAGUCUUAACCCCUGGGGUCCCCCCUAUGAGUUUCUUCUUGUCUCCAAGAGACAGGGUUGGAGUAAGGCAUGGUCCCUCGAGGCCCUCCUGGGGUCAGUCACUGACAGGGGAGCAAUUGUCCCAGCUCUAGGCAACACCAACUGGGACCCCUUCCCUGGGGUGCACAACUCCUCCCUGGCCUCCUCUUGUCCACCCUGCCCCCCCAUCCACCAGCUCUGGACCCCCAGGCAGGUGACGAGCAGCUGCCCUGACUGUCCUCCAGGGUCUCCUGAAGUUGGCCUGCACCCCCCUCCCUCCCUGAGCACCGGGGGGCCUGUCACUCUGAAGGGAAGACUUCAGAGUUGAAGAGUGGCUGGGAAGGAUGGCAGGGGAGGGCGUGGGUCGUGUGCAUGGGCAUGAGACGCGGGUGAGUAGGUGGACGAGUGAGGGUGUGUGCGGGUUUGUGUGUGCACAGGUGUGUGUGACUGUGUAGGCUCACGUGUGAGCACAUGCCCGUGAGCACGUGUGUGUGAGCUGUGAGCUGCGAGGGGCUGCCUCACAGCCUAACUCCAGGCCCUGGCAGAACGGGAAUCCCAGACGCCCAGGUGCCCCACGGCCUUCAGCCCAGGUGACCGCCAAUGAGAACGUGGCAGAGGACGCCACGUCAGGAGGAGGAAUCAGCUCUGCGGGGCAUGGCCGGGAGCCUGGGUCGACUGGCCACGCUGCGCGUCUUUUUCUAAAGAAAAUUGGGUUGUCUGUCUGAAAUGGAGCUGGCAAACCAGACUCGGGGGUGCCCGACAGCUGGAGAGGGUUCCCACCUCUGUCCUGGGGCCUCCACCGUGAGCUGACCCACCGGCUGUCCCAGCUCAGUGUGCCCAUGACAGAUGUGGCCCUCUCAGCCGCCACAAUCACAUGAGCGAUUCCUGGGGGGACUCUGUCCACUCUGCUUCUCUGGAGAGCUCCGUCCAGAGCUCCCCUUCCUCUCCCACACUGCCCAGUGCUCUCGAGUGCUUGGUUGGGCCUCCUCGGCGGCCCCAGGCCCAGGCCGUCCUCACCUGGGGCCUCCAGCUGUGUGAGCUCCACUCCUUCCCACACACCCUCCUGUGGCUUCCAAAGCAGAGAGGGAACAUGUGGCAUUCUGAUCAGAACAUUCCGCUUCUCCUUCCACAGAGGACCUGUCGCUGUCCCCCACGACUGCACACGGGGCCCCCCUCGCCCAGCACCCAGCACCCACCCUCCCGGGGACGGCAGGCGUUUCCUCCGGAGCUCGGAAGGGCCACGAGUGGGCUGCUGUCUUCUCCCCGGCAGACCAGACCAUGUGCUGCAUGGGGUCACCGUGCCUCUGUCCCCUUCAGCACCCCCCAGUGUCACCCCAGGACAUGGAGUGACUAACUGGUGGGAACAAAGCAGAGUGUGUGAGGCCCAGAGUGGGAAGGGUCUGAAACCCCAGCUACUGCAGCCGAGAGAUGAAGAGGCCUUGGGCGUCCAGGACAC